rfam:Schistosoma mansoni strain Puerto Rico chromosome 3, complete genome
AGCCUUUUGAAUCCGUGCUGAGAUUUGGUCAGACACCAACCCAUUAGUGCUGGUUAGACUUCCAAGAUAAGUGAAGUU